rnacentral:lncRNA from 10 species
CAACAAUGAAAGAAGAAAUGAUGAGAACCUAAACUAAGGCAAUACUAAUAGAAGCAAAGAGAAGGGAAGAGAUUUCACAAGUUUAUAAGAAGAAAGUGGUAGGACUUGAAAGUUAAUUGGAUGUAAAGACCAAAGCAAGGGGCAGUCAAGGAUGGCUCCUGGAUUUCUGGCUUGAGAGACUAGGUGGAUGAAAGAGCAGAUGAGAACACCAAAGACAGAAUAUAUGGUUCUUCUAGAAGAUCCACUUUCAAUUUUACUAAAGUGAAUGACCCAC